rnacentral:rRNA from 1 species
UACGGAGGGUGCGAGCGUUGUCCGGAAUCAUUGGGCGUAAAGGGCGCGUAGGUGGCCCGGUCAGUCUUUGGUGAAAGCGCGGGGCUCAACCCUGCGUCGGCCAGGGAUACUGCCGCGGCUGGAGCACUGUAGAGGCAGGCGGAAUUCCGGGUGUAGCGGUGGAAUGCGUAGAGAUCCGGAAGAACACCGGUGGCGAAGGCGGCCUGCUGGGCAGUUUGCUGACACUGAGGCGCGACAGCGUGGGGAGCAACAGG